rnacentral:lncRNA from 1 species
UUUUUUUAAUUAAUAUGCUUAACGAAAAUUUUUUUCUCUCCUCAGCUUCACUUGCAACUACAUUAAGGUAAGAUUUUUCUUUUUUCUUCUUUUUUCAUGACUUUUUUCACUAUAUUUGUUUUUUAUUUUAUUUUUAAUUGUUUUUGUUCUUAAUAAUUGUAUAAAUGUUGUUGUGAGAUUUUAUUUUUUCAUAUGAGAUUAAUUUUUAGUUCAUUUAUUUAUAGGAUUUUUAAAUUUUUAGCAAUUGCAACUUUAUUUUUUUCAUAUGAAUUUUUU